UUUUACAUAUUUUUUCCCCAAUGACUGUCACCAAUCAACAUCUUGGUCUGAUGAACUUUUCUCUUAUUUCAGUUGAUAAAGUAGCUUCUUCUGGCAUUGCAACUUAGGUCCAUCAAUUGGCAGAUAUAACAGUACUGCCUGACUGCAGGUUAGAUAUUUGGCUACAACAGUUUUGAGUUGGUGAAGCAGAGGAAUGACUGGUCUCUCAAAUUUACCCCACUUCUUUAGGACGAUUGACCUUCUGAUAUUAGAUUGAGGAGUAGAGAGAAGAGAAGAACUAACUCCUUAAAUCUCUGAUUGGAUGAGAUUGUUGGAGCCACCAACUCAGUCCCCAGCAAGUCCCUUGGGCAUCGGUAGUCACUAGGAGACUCACUGACCCUCAUCUGGAGCUUCCAUGACGUUCCAGAAUAGAUAAGACUCUGUAUAUUACCGUGGUCCCUAAUAAAACUGCAGACCCCAAUCCAUUACGGUCCCAACUCCAGUGCCUGCAGGAGAAAGAAGAAAAGGCAUGAUCUCGGAAUAAAGAAAGUCUGUCCAAAGAAAAGGAAAUUGAUUCUUCUAUACUGACAGAGUCCUGGCAACUACACGAUGCUGUUUUGUCACUGCAUUUCAGCGAGAAUGGAGGCAACCCUGGAUGCCACAGGAAAGAGUUCCUGUGUUAUGAAACCUUUGUAUUCAUGAAAAAUCAUGUUUUUGAUGCAUGUUUAAUGCCAUGGGAAAAUGCUCAUAAUAAGUCAAGUAAAAAAAUGUUUACAAAUUGUUUACAGCACAAGAUUUAGGUUUUUUGUGAAAUGUAUAUUUAUUUAAUUGUAUAAAAAGUAGACUGAAAAGAAACAUACUGGAAUUUUAGGAGUGGUUAUCUCUGUAGAUAGGAUUAAAAUAAUUUUAGUUUUCUUCUUUAUACUUUCUUUAUUUCCUAGAUUUUCUACAGUACACAUAAACUGCCCCUGCUAUCUGG
rnacentral:lncRNA from 1 species